UGCCAGCAGCCGCGGUAAUACGGAGGGUGCAAGCGUUGUUCGGAAUUACUGGGCGUAAAGCGCGCGUAGGUGGCUAUUUAAGUCAGAUGUGAAAGUCCACGGCUCAACCGUGGAAGUGCAUUUGAAACUGGAUAGCUUGAGUAUUGGAGGGGGUAGUGGAAUUCCCGGUGUAGAGGUGAAAUUCGUAGAUAUCGGGAGGAAUACCGGUGGCGAAGGCGACUACCUGGCCAAAUACUGACACUGAGGUGCGAAAGCGUGGGGAGCAAACAGGAUUAGAUA
rnacentral:rRNA from 1 species